UACGUAGGGUGCAAGCGUUGUCCGGAAUUAUUGGGCGUAAAGAGCGCGUAGGCGGUCUGUUGCGUCGGCUGUGAAAACCCGGGGCUCAACCCCGGGCCUGCAGCCGAUACGGGCAGACUAGAGUUCGGCAGGGGAGACUGGAAUUCCUGGUGUAGCGGUGAAAUGCGCAGAUAUCAGGAGGAACACCGGUGGCGAAGGCGGGUCUCUGGGCCGAUACUGACGCUGAGGAGCGAAAGCGUGGGGAGCGAACAGG
rnacentral:rRNA from 1 species